AUUCUUCUGAACUGAGGUUGACUGCAGAUAACCAAAACCAUGGAUAAGUUGUAUGAAGUGUGAUGCCUGGAGUUAUGACAGCCAUCUUGCAACCAUGAGAAGAUAAGGCUGUGGAUGAAAACCAAUAUACCAAGAAUGGUUGUGUUAAAAGAUGAAAAGAGCUUGGGUCUUGAAUGUCAUCACUGAACACUUCACCAGUUUUCAAACAGCCCUAUUUCUGAACUCUUGUGAUGUGAGAUUACUAAUGUCCUCAUUAUUUAAGCUACAUUAGUAGUUGGAUUUCUUGUCACAUGUAGCUGAAAAUAUCCUAGCUAAUACAUCAACAAAUAAAUGAGUAAAUAAUAAAAUUUUUAAUUAAAAAGAAAAAUUGAGCUCUAUACAUAUUGUAUGCAUGUAUCAAAAUCUCACUUGUACUCUAUAAAUAUGUUCAACUAUUAUGGAUCCAUUUUUUAAACAUACAAAUUUGAACUCUUUUUUUUUCUUUUUAUGUUUCUGCCAGCAGGAAGUCAAAAUCUGAACUCUUUUUGUGUUUAUAUGCAUCCGUUUUUUAAAUGACCUGAUGAAAUUAAAACUGUUGAGAAAAAUUAAAAAAAAAAAAGAAAUGAGUGGGCCGGGCGCAGUGGCUCAC
rnacentral:lncRNA from 1 species